rnacentral:rRNA from 1 species
UGGGGAAUAUUGGACAAUGGGCGCAAGCCUGAUCCAGCAAUGCCGCGUGUGUGAAGAAGGCCUGCGGGUUGUAAAGCACUUUCAGUGGGGAGAAAGAAGCUAUCACUAAUACUGAUGGCGGAUGAUGUUACCCACAGAAGAAGCACCGGCUAAUUCUGUGCCAGCAGCCGCGGUAAUACAGAAGGUGCGAGCGUUAAUCGGAAUUACUGGGCGUAAAGGGUGCGUAGGUGGUUUUGUAAGUUAGGUGUGAAAGUCCCGGGCUUAACCUGGGGAUUGCGCCUGAUACUGCAAAGCUAGAGUACUGUAGAGGAAAGUGGAAUUUCCAGUGUAGCGGUGAAAUGCGUAGAUAUUGGAAGGAACAUCAGUGGCGAAGGCGACUUUCUGGACAGAUACUGACACUGAGGCACGAAAGCGUGGGGAGCAAACAGGAUUAGAUACCCCCGUAGUCC